rnacentral:rRNA from 1 species
GUGAAAUUGUUGAAAGGGAAGCGCUUGCAGCCAGACGUGCCCGUAGUUGCUCAUCGGGGGUUCUCCCCCGUGUACUCUUCUAUGGGCAGGCCAGCAUCAGUCCGGGCGGUUGGAGAAAGACCUGUGUCAUGUAGCUGUUUUCGGGCAGUGUUAUAGGGCAGGUGGAAUGCAACCAGCCUGGACUGAGGUCCGCGCAUCUGCUAGGAUGCUGGCGUAAUGGCUGUAAGCGGCCCGUCUUGAAACACGGACCAAGGAGUCUAACAUCUAUGCGAGUGUUUGGGUGUCGAGCCCGAGCGCGUAAUGAAAGUGAACGGAGGUGGGAACCUUUUAGGUGCACCAUCGACCGAUCCUGAUGUCUUCGGAUGGAUUUGAGUAAGAGCAUAGCUGUUGGGACCCGAAAGAUGGUGAACUAUGCCUGAAUAGGGUGAAGCCAGAGGAAACUCUGGUGGAGGCUCGCAGCGGUUCUGACGUGCAAAUCGAUCGUCAAAUUUGGGCAUAGGGGCGAAAGACUAAUCGAACUAUCUAGUAGCUGGUUCCUGCCGAAGUUUCCCUCAGGAUAGCAGUAACGUUUUCAGUUUUAUGAGGUAAAGCGAAUGAUUAGAGGCCUGGGGGUUGAAACAACCUUCACCUAUUCUCAAACUUUAAAUAUGUAAGAAGUCCUUGUUUCUUAAUUGAACGUGGACAUUUGAAUGUAUCGUUACUAGUGGGCC